rnacentral:lncRNA from 1 species
AAAAAGCUGUUUUUCCUUGCAUUGUGAAAUUGCUCAAGUUCAUAAAAUUAAAAACAAAAUUAAAAAAUGUGAAAUUGCUCAAGUUCUUUACGUCAAACUAUUUUAAUACAAUAUAAUUAAAAAAAAUGUGAAAUUGCUCAAGUUCUUUACGUCACCAUAUGAUUCAGUGAAUUUUCCACAUCAUUAUACGAAAAUAUUAUAACCCAGAUUAUAAAUACAAACACUACAAUUUCGGAUAUAAUAAUAAAAUAAAAAACCCCAUGAUUUCUGAAAAGAUAGAACAUAAAUACUUUUCUGAGUAUUUUAUUCCUUUAAUCACGUAACAUCAACACUACUAUAUUUCCGGAAAAAUCUCCACACCUUCCAUCUUUACAGAAACUGCACUUAUAAAUAUUGCAGUCUACGCAUAACUCCACCACACCUUCAAUCUUUACAGAAACUGCACUGCAAUUAUGGAACUCAGCUUUGUCAAUCAAGUUCAUCCGUACAGAACUUCCUGGCGUCUACAAGUUAAGGUCCUUCAUACUUGGAAGCAGUUCACACCUCUCUCAGGAGAAACCUUGGAAAUCGUUUUCUCUGAUGCAUAUGUACGUCUCUAAACUUUCUUAUGAUUCUUUCUGUUAUUUUGUUCUCACUAUUCGUAACUACAUCUAAAUGGCAAACACCUUUCUAAAUCAUGUUCUCUUAUUUAUUGUUGCGGAAACAAAUGAUUCCUAAAUACAUCUAUAUUUUAAAUUUUUAUCUAAUCCGUUUAUUCUUAUUAUAUUGAAGGGUAACAAGAUUCAUGCAUCAUGUAAGAAGACAUACUUUGAUCGUUUGGAGAAUAAAGUACCUGUUGGUGCUUGGAGAAACAUUGACAAUUUCUUGGUGACUAAUAAUGGCGGUAGUUACAAGACUACAAAUCACCAUUACAAGAUUGUCUUCAUUCCCACCACUGACAUCACUCCUUCAACACUGCAAGAGGAAAACAUGUUCCUUAGUUUGGUUGACUUUGAAAGCAUUCAAAGUGGAAAACUUGAUACAACCAACUUAAUUGGUUAGUUUAAUACAUUCAUACAAAUUUUUACUUCUAUAUUUUUCUAAAGUGUUUUACGAAUCUUACAUAUGAUGUGUACAAUAUCAGAUGUUAUUGGACAAGUGUUUGAGUUGGGAGAUCUGGAAACUGUGCAGUGUCACGGUAAAGAAAGAAAGAAAAUCGAGUUCAGCUUGAGAGACAUCAGGUAAUAUAUUAAUUUAUGUAUUUCUUAUAUCAUAUAUUUUUUUAAGCUAUUAAUAUAUGUUUUCAACAGUGAUCAAAAGAUACCUUGCUGCCUUUGGGGAAAGUUUGCUGAAGCAAUACACAGUUUCAGCCAACAAUCUGAAGAAGAAAUUGUUGUAUGCCUAAUACGUUUUGCUAAAAUCGGGACCUAUCGAAGUAAUCUCAUAUCAUUUUCUUUUUAUAUAAA